AGAGUUUGAUCAUGGCUCAGAACGAACGCUGGCGGCAGGCCUAACACAUGCAAGUCGAGCGCUGUAGCAAUACAGAGCGGCGCACGGGAGAGUAACGCGUGGGAACCUACCUUUUGGUUCGGAAUAACACCGGGAAACUGGUGCUAAUACCGGAUAAGCCCCUCGGGGGAAAGAUUUAUCGCCGAAAGAUGGGCCCGCGU
rnacentral:rRNA from 1 species